rnacentral:rRNA from 1 species
AUUGAACGCUGGCGGCAGGCAUAACACAUGCAAGUCGAACGAGUGGCGGACGGGUGAGUAAUGUCUGGGAAACUGCCCGAUGGAGGGGGAUAACUACUGGAAACGGUAGAUAAUACCGCAUACACUCGGAUGUGCCCAGAUGGGAUUAGCUAGAAGGUGGGGUAAAGGCUCACCUAGGCGACGAUCCCUAGAUGGUCUGAGAGGAUGACCAGCCACACUGGAACGGAGACACGGUCCAGACUCCUACGGGCGGCAGCAGGGGGGAAUAUUGCACAAUGGGCGCAAGCCUGAUGCAGCCAUGCCGCGUGUAUUAAGAAGGCCUUCGGGUUGUAAAGUACUUUCAGCGGGGAGGCGUUACCCGCAGAAGAAGCACCGGCUAACUACGUGCCAGCAGCCGCGGUAAUUC